rnacentral:lncRNA from 1 species
CUCUUCUACAUAAAUGUAGAUGCCACCAGGUGAAUGACUGGACUCCAACUCCCGGCGGCGACACCACCCCUCCAUGUGGUUCCUCACCUCCUAAAGGAGCUACCUAAAGAGGAAACCCAGAGCUGGUGAAAAUCUGAGGCUGUAUUUAUUAGGAGGUUCUGGAGCUCUUUCUGCAUUUCCUUGCUGAUCCCAGGUUACUUGAAACCUUGAUGAGCUGCUUUAGCCUGGUCCCAUCCCUGCCAGAAAUCCAUGACUUGGACCAACACACCGUGGUUUCAACACCGUGGAAAUGUCAUUGAAACUCUUCUACCAUGGGAUAACUGGGAGCAGGAUCAGCCUCCUGGUCCUCAGAGACACCACUUCAUUAAUUAAAUAAACCAGUGACCUCUGAGACAGGAGAGAAAACACGAAUGGAGAGAGGAGAGUGGGUUUUCUCUCCACCGCGUCUCUGCUUCUCCAGUGCUUCCUUCUCCAGCUGCCCAGUGAGGCUGAGCUCCUCCCAGCAGCUCAGGAAACUGCUCCUGCUGGUGAUGGAGUGAGCACAAAGAGCGGAUGGAGCUGCUGCUGCCCAGAAUGGGAGCCCCAAAGGACCUCGUUGGCUCAAGGAGGAGAUAUUUGCUCACACCAGCAUAACCUCUCUCCACUGUCAGUAUUUCCUUUGGUCGUGCUGGGACUUCUGAGGACAGCCCGGGCUGUAUAUUUGCUCACACCAGCGUAACCUCUCUCCACUGUCAGUAUUUCCUUUGGUCGAGCUGGGACUUCUGAGGACAGCCCGGGCUGUUUGAGGACAUCCUGGG